CAGGUGCAUGCCUCUAGCAUGAAGUC
rnacentral:rRNA from 4 species